rnacentral:rRNA from 1 species
UCAAGAAUCUUCCACAAUGGCCGAAAGGCUGAUGGAGCAAUGCCGCGUGCAGGAAGACGCCCUUCGGGGUGUAAACUGCUUUUCUCUGGGACGAACAAAUGACGGUACCAGAGGAAUAAGGGGUUGCUAACCUCGUGCCAGCAGCAGCGGUAAUACGAGGACCCCAAGCGUUAUCCGGAUUUACUGGGCGUAAAGCGUCCGCAGGCGGCUUGAUUAGUUUUUGGUGAAAGGCCACGGCUCAACCGGGGAAACGCCAAAAAUACUGUCAAGCUAGAGACUGGGAGAGGUAAGCGGAACUGCCGGUGUAGCGGUAAAAUGUGUUAAUAUCGGCAGGAACACCAAAGGCGAAGGCAGCUUACUUGAACAGUUCUGACGCUCAUGGACGAAAGCGUGGGGAGCGAAAG